rnacentral:lncRNA from 1 species
AGUUGCAGCAGCAGUAGGUUCAGCGCUAAGGCCCUGUUUGGAUGCAUAGUUAAAAAAUUUCAUGAAAUUUUUAUUCUAUGAUUUUGGUCUAAAUGAAAUACAGAAUUCUGUAACUAUAAAAAAAAUUCAUAGCUUCAUUUUUAAGUUGUUUGGAAACAGAUCAUACAAUUCCACAGUAUUUAUAACAAUUAAAUUUCUAAAAUUUUAAAAUUCAAAAUUCAAAAUUCAAAAUUCAAAAUUCAAAAAUAAAAUUUUAAAAAAUAAAAUUCAAAAUUCAAAAUAUAAAAUUUAAAUUUAAAAUUAAAAAUUAAAAAAUUAAAUUAGAUUUUAUGUUUUAAAUUUGAAAUUAGAAAUUUGGAAUUUGAAUUUAAAAUUUGAAAUUUGAAACUUUAAAUUUUAAAAUUUAAAGUAUAACAUUUAAACUUUAAAAUUUGAAAUUUGAAAAAUCUAUAAUUAAAAUUUUAAAUUUUAAAUUUAAUAAUUUAUAAAUUUACAUAUUUAUAAAUUUAAAAUUUAAAAUUUAAGUUUAAAUU